rnacentral:rRNA from 1 species
GACGAACCUUGCUACCGUUAUUCGGAAUUACUGGGCUUAAAGGGUGCGUAGGCGGUGCGGCAAGUCGGGUGUGAAAUCCCCCAGCUCAACUGGGGAAUUGCGCCUGAAACUACCGUGCUCGAGGAAGACAGAGGUACGCGGAACUUAGGGUGGAGCGGUGAAAUGCGUUGAUAUCCUAAGGAACACCGGUGGCGAAAGCGGCGUACUGGGUCUUAUCUGACGCCGAGGCACGAAAGCUAGGGUAGCGAACGGG